rnacentral:sRNA from 3 species
GCAUCUGAAGCCUGACGAGGAUGAGAACCUCCGGGGGCAAGAGGUUCGACCCGAGCGAAGCGAGAGAACGUUGCGCCAGCAACGGCCCGCAGUGGCAAGUCAUCCUCUGUCACCGGCAG